AUCGCUUCUCGGCCUUUUGGCUAAGAUCAAGUGUAGUAUCUGUUCUUAUCAGUUCAGAUCUACUGAAGCAGGCUGAAGUCUGAAGAUCUGAAGCAGGAGAAAGAGAACAUCU
rfam:Xenopus tropicalis strain Nigerian scaffold_2496_contig_1, whole genome shotgun sequence.